GUGCCUAACACAUGCAAGUCGAACGAGAAAGUGGAGCAAUCCAUGAGUAAAGUGGCGACCGGGUGAGUAACACGUGACUAACCUACCCUACAGUGGGGGAUAACCUCGGGAAACCGGGGCUAAUACCGCAUAACAUCGCAAGAUCAAAGGAGCAAUCCGCUGAAGGAGGGGGUCGCGGCUGAUUAGUUAGUUGGUGAGGUAACGGCUCACCAAGACGAAGAUCAGUAGCCGGCCUGAGAGGGCGCACGGCCACACUGGAACUGAAACACGGUCCAG
rnacentral:rRNA from 1 species